rnacentral:rRNA from 1 species
GACGGAGGAUGCAAGUGUUAUCCGGAAUCACUGGGCGUAAAGCGUCUGUAGGUGGUUCGAAAAGUCCACUGUUAAAGAUUGAGGCUUAACUUCAAAAAUGCCGUGGAAACUUUCAAACUAGAGUAUGGUAGGGGUAGAGGGAAUUUCCAGUGGAGCGGUGAAAUGCGUAGAUAUUGGAAAGACCACCGAUGGCGAAGGCACUCUACUGGGCCAUUACUGACACUGAGAGACGAAGAGCUAGGGGAGCAAAUGGG